CCCAGACUCCUACGGGAGGCAGCAGUGAGGAAUAUUGGUCAAUGGGCGGAAGCCUGAACCAGCCAAGUCGCGUGAGGGAAUAAGGCCCUACGGGUCGUAAACCUCUUUUGCCGGGGAGCAAGGGCGGGGACGUGUCCCGGCCCGGAGAGUACCCGGAGAAAAAGCAUCGGCUAACUCCGUGCCAGCAGCCGCGGUAAUACGGAGGAUGCGAGCGUUAUCCGGAUUUAUUGGGUUUAAAGGGUGCGUAGGCGGAUUUUUAAGUCAGCGGUAAAAUGUCCGGGCUCAACCCGGGCCGGCCGUUGAAACUGGGGAUCUUGAGUGGGCGAGAAGUAUGCGGAAUGCGUGGUGUAGCGGUGAAAUGCAUAGAUAUCACGCAGAACUCCGAUUGCGAAGGCAAGUGUCCGGGGUGCAACUGACGCUGAGGCUCGAAAGUGCGGGUAUCAAACAGGAUUAGAUACCCUUGUAA
rnacentral:rRNA from 1 species